UUGGAGGGCAAGUCUGGUGCCAGCAGCCGCGGUAAUUCCAGCUCCAAUAGCGUAUAUUAAAGUUGUUGCAGUUAAAAAGCUCGUAGUUGAAUUUCGGAAUCUGUCCAUCGGUCGGGCUUCACUGUCCGUACUGGUGUGGUGGGUUCUUACCUUCUGAAUAACCAGCAUGCCAUUCACUUGGUGCGUUGGGGAAGCAGGACUAUUACCUUGAAAAAAUUAGAGUGCUCAAAGCAGGCCAGCGCCUGAAUACAUUAGCAUGGAAUAAUAAAAUAGGACGGCAUGGUUCUAUUUUGUUGGUUUCUAGGAUCACCGUAAUGAUUAAUAGGGAUAGUUGGGGGCAUUAGUAUUCAAUUGUCAGAGGUGAAAUUCUUGGAUUUAUUGAAGACUAACUUCUGCGAAAGCAUUUGCCAAGGAUGUUUUCAUUAAUCAAGAACGAAAGUUAGGGGAUCGAAGACGAUCAGAUACCGUCGUAGUCUUAACCAUAAACUAUGCCGACUAGGGAUCGGACGAUGUUAAUUUUUUAAUGACUCAUUCGGCGCCUUACGGGAAAC
rnacentral:rRNA from 1 species